AAAAAUAUUUGGUCUCGUGCCAAAUUACACCUGUGUGCACCAUUGUCUGUAUUUGGUAGCUCGAGCGCGCUCCGGAAGCUCAACACUUCCAUUAGGGGCGCCUACCCUUGCGGGUCACAUCCCGCUUGGGUUGGGCUACCGCCUUUUUUUUGAAAAACCUUUUUUGUUUUGUCUUUUUGUCUGAACGAAGAGUUGAUCUUAAUUGAUUAAUGAUUUGAAAA
rnacentral:misc_RNA from 1 species